UGGCAACACUAUUUGAGACACAUCCUACA
rnacentral:piRNA from 1 species